AGUCGUAACAAGGUCUUCGUAGGUGAACCUGCGAAGGGAUCAUUAACGCUCCAUAAUUAAUAUAUCAAAACUGGUUUCUUUGUUCUCUCUCUUCAAAAGAGAGAGAACAAAGAGACUGCAACACGAAAAUUUUAUGUGCAUAUGCAGUGUUCUCUCUGCAUGUGUGCAUAAGGUUUUAUAUGUGUGUUUCGAGUACAAAGUUCUCUCAUAUAUAUAUACACAAACUCUAAAAUCAAAAACAGAAUUGUAUUAUAUAGUCCUUUCUCUCAAUGUUCAUUAUUGAGACAAGGCAUUUAAUUAAAAUUAAAUAAUAAUAAUACAACUCCUAACAACGGAUAUCUUGGUUCUCGCGAGGAUGAAGAACGCAGC
rnacentral:misc_RNA from 1 species